UGGUGGGUAGCUCAGUGGUUAAAGCUUAAGUCUCGUAACCGAAAGCUCCCGCGAUCGAAUCCCACUAG
rnacentral:tRNA from 1 species